rnacentral:antisense_RNA from 1 species
UAUGUGUAGUCUUUGGCGGCAUCAGUUCUACUCCGUGGCUGCCCUGCCGCCC